rnacentral:rRNA from 1 species
AGAACGAACGCUGGCGGCAGGCUUAACACAUGCAAGUCGAACGCUCGUAGCAAUACGGGAGUGGCAGACGGGUGAGUAACGCGUGGGAACAUACCCUCCGGUUCGGAAUAGCUCAGGGAAACUUGGAUUAAUACCGGAUACGGCUGAGAGGCGAAAGAUUUAUCGCCGGAGGAUUGGCCCGCGUUCGAUUAGCUUGUUGGUGAGGUAACGGCUCACCAAGGCGAUGAUCGAUAGCUGGUCUGAGAGGAUGAUCAGCCACAUUGGGACUGAGACACGGCCCAAACUCCUACGGGAGGCAGCAGUGGGGAAUAUUGGACAAUGGGCGCAAGCCUGAUCCAGCCAUGCCGCGUGAGUGAUGACGGCCUUAGGGUGUAAAGCUCUUUCGCUCGGGACGAUAAUGACGGUACCGAGAUAAGAAGCCCGGCUAACUUCGUGCCAGCAGCCGC